AGAGUUUGAUCAUGGCUCAGGAUGAACGCUAGCUACAGGCUUAACACAUGCAAGUCGAGGGGAAACGACAUCGAAAGCUUGCUUUUUGAUGGGCGUCGACCGGCGCACGGGGUGAGUAACGCGUAUCCAACCUGCCCACCACUUGGGGAUAACCUUGCGAAAGUAAGACUAAUACCCAAUGAUAUCUCUAGAAGACAUCUGAAAGAGAUUAAAGAUUUAUCGGUGAUGGAUGGGGGAUGCGUCUGAUUAGCUUGUUGGCGGGGUAACGGCCCACCAAGGCAACGAUCAGUAGGGGUUCUGAGAAGAACGGUCCCCCACAUUGGAACUGAGACACGGUCCAAACUCCGUACGGGAGGCAGCA
rnacentral:rRNA from 1 species